AAGACUUGGUUUAAUUCUCUUGCUCCUAGUUGUGUGCGUAAUCCCCAGGAUAUGAUUUAUUACUUCUCUGCUAAAUAUUUCCUUGCCCAUAAGAAACAAGCUGCCUUGCAGGAAAUAUAUAAUUUUGUGCAAAUCAAAGAAGAGAGUCUCCCACAAGCUUGGGAGAGGCUUCUCCGAUUACUUAAUGCUUUGCCUGAUCAUCCUCUUAAGAAAAAUGAAAUACUUGCUAUCUUUUAUAAUGGACUAACCGAUGCUUCCAAGGACUACUUGGAUAGUUGUGCUGGUUGUGUUUUCAGGGAAAGAACAGUCGACGAAGCUGAAUUACUAUUGAAUAAUAUAUUGACUAAUGAAAAUAAUUGGACUCUUCCUGAGCCAAUUCCUGAGGCAAUUCCUGAACCAAUUGAGCUGACUCCUGAGCCUAUUCCUAAACAGACUCCGAAGAAGAGAGGUGUUCUAUUUCUCAGUCCUGAAGAUAUGCAAGAG
rnacentral:rRNA from 1 species